CUAGAAAUUGUUGUGAAAUCGAAGGAAAUUGAGGGCUGAAGGUUUGCUUGUGAAAUCUGAGAAAUCUUGAUGUUUUUUUCUUCAACAGCUGAAGGUUCUGUUCUGACAUCUUUGAGGUUAUAGCUGAAGAAACUUCAAGUUUGAGCUGUUGAGAUGACCCUUUUGUGUUGGCGUCUUAAGUGCAUCAAGUAUUUUAUGUGGCGGAUCCAAUCGAGAAGGAUGUUUAUUAUGCAAGGAAUAAAGUGCCUG